GACGAACCGUGCGAACGUUGUUCGGAAUCACUGGGCUUAAAGGGCGCGUAGGCGGGCAAGCAAGUCAGGGGUGAAAUCCCACGGCUCAACCGUGGAAGUGCCUUUGAUACUGCCUGUCUUGAGGGAGGUAGGGGCGUGCGGAACUUCCGGUGGAGCGGUGAAAUGCGUAGAUAUCGGAAGGAACACCGGUGGCGAAAGCGGCGCGCUGGACCUCUACUGACGCUGAGGCGCGAAAGCGUGGGGAGCAAACAGG
rnacentral:rRNA from 1 species